rnacentral:rRNA from 1 species
GAUGAACGCUAGCUACAGGCUUACACAUGCAAGUCGAGGGGCAGCAUGGUCUUAGCUUGCUAAGGCCGAUGGCGACCGGCGCACGGGUGAGUAACACGUAUCCAACCUGCCGUCUACUCUUGGACAGCCUUCUGAAAGGAAGAUUAAUACAAGAUGGCAUCAUGAGUCCGCAUGUUCACAUGAUUAAAGGUAUUCCGGUAGACGAUGGGGAUGCGUUCCAUUAGAUAGUAGGCGGGGUAACGGCCCACCUAGUCUUCGAUGGAUAGGGGUUCUGAGAGGAAGGUCCCCCACAUUGGAACUGAGACACGGUCCAAACUCCUACGGGAGGCAGCAGUGAGGAAUAUUGGUCAAUGGGCGAGAGCCUGAACCAGCCAAGUAGCGUGAAGGAUGACUGCCCUAUGGGUUGUAAACUUCUUUUAUAAAGGAAUAAAGUCGGGUAUGGAUACCCGUUUGCAUGUACUUUAUGAAUAAGGAUCGGCUAACUCCGUGCCAGCAGCCGCGGUAAUACGGAGGAUCCGAGCGUUAUCCGGAUUUAUUGGGUUUAAAGGGAGUGUAGAUGGAUAUUUAAGUCAGUUGUGAAAGUUUGCGGCUCAACCGUAAAAUUGCAGUUGAUACUGGAUAUCUUGAGUGCAGUUGAGGCAGGCGGAAUUCGUGGUGUAGCGGUGAAAUGCUUAGAUAUCACGAAGAACUCCGAUUGCGAAGGCAGCCUGCUAAGCUGCAACUGACAUUG